AACGCACAUUGCGCCCUCUGGUAUUCCAGGGGGCAUGCCUGUUCGAGCGUCAUUGCAACCCUCAAGCCUGGCUUGGUCUUGGGCGUCGCCUCUCGCGGGGCGUGCCUGAAAAGCAGUGGGUGUCCGGCGUGACUUUGGGCGUAGUAAAUUUUCUCCCGUCCUGAAAGCCUCGCGCCGUGGUGCCCAGAACCCCCCAUAACUUUCAAUGAAUUGACCUCGGAUCAGGUAGGGAUACCCGCUGAACUUAA
rnacentral:misc_RNA from 2 species